rnacentral:sRNA from 1 species
AAGUGGGCCAAGGGCCCCGGGCUUGGGAGGGCAGGUGGCGCCUAGACCCAGCGUUCCCGCUCCACAGGUCUCCAGGAGUUCGCCCGGCGUUUCCUCUGCAGCGGGUGCUACUCUAGGGUCUGCGACCUCCCGCUGGACUGCCCAGUUCAGGAUGUGACAGUGACUCGGGGCGACCAGGCUAUGUUUUCUUGCAUCGUGAACUUCCAGCUGCCAAAGGAGGAGAUCACCUAUUCCUGGAAGUUCGCAGGAGGAGCUCCGGACUCAGGACUUGUCCUAUUUCCGAGAUAUGCCGCGGGCCGAAGGAUACCUGGCGCGGAUCCGGCCGGCUCAGCUCACGCACCGCGGGACGUUCUCCUGCGUGAUCAAGCAAGACCAGCGCCCCCUGGCCCGGCUCUACUUCUUUCUUAACGGUGGGGCGGGGCGCGGCGGAGUGAGUGAGUGGGGUGGGGAGAGGGGUGGGGCUCGUGCCUGGCUGACGUGCGCGCCCCCGCAGUGACGGGCCCGCCCCCGCGGGCGGAGACAGAGUUGCAGGCCUCGUUCCGGGAGGUGCUGCGCUGGGCGCCGCGGGAUGCCGAGCUGAUCGAGCCCUGGAGGCCCAGCCUGGGCGAGCUGCUGGCCAGGCCCGAGGCUCUGACGCCCAGCAACCUAUUCCUGCUUGCAGUCCUCGGGGCCCUCGCAUCAGCGAGUGCGACAGUGUUGGCGUGGAUGUUCUUUCGAUGGUACUGCAGUGGCAACUAACAAAGAUAUCUCUUUCCUCCUUCCCUAUCCUAUUUCCAUCCUGAAAAUAAAGAAUAUAUUUCGACUGUAGAUUGUUUCAUCUCUGAAGGUGGUCACUACUAACUCAGGUAGGAGGAGGUGCAGCAAGCCCACACAUGCCCAGAUGAAUAUGGCCCGCAUAAUGACAGUGAUAGGCAUAGCUAUCCCAGUGCAAGUUAGGUGGGAACCCAGAUACCCCCUCAGGUUACU